AACGAACGCUGGCGGCAUGCCUAACACAUGCAAGUCGAACGAGACCUUCGGGUCUAGUGGCGCACGGGUGCGUAACGCGUGGGAACCUGCCCUUAGGUUCGGAAUAACUCCCCGAAAGGGGUGCUAAUACCGGAUAAUGUCUUCGGACCAAAGAUUUAUCGCCUUUGGAUGGGCCCGCGUUGGAUUAGCGAGUUGGUAGGGUAAAAGCCUACCAAGGCGACGAUCCAUAGCUGGUCUGAGAGGAUGAUCAGCCACACUGGGACUGAGACACGGCCCAGACUCGUACGGGAGGCAGCAGUGGGGAAUACUGGACAAUGGGCGAAAGCCUGAUCCAGCAAUGCCGCGUGAGUGAUGAAGGCCUUAGGGUUGUAAAGCUCUUUUACCCGGGAUGAUAAUGACAGUACCGGGAGAAUAAGCUCCGGCUAACUACGUG
rnacentral:rRNA from 1 species